rnacentral:tRNA from 1 species
UGCAUCGGCCGGGAAUCGAACCCGGGCCACCCGCGUGGCAGGCGAGCAUUCUACCACUAAGCCACCGAUGC